UACGUAGGAGGCAAGCGUUGUCCGGAAUUACUGGGCGUAAAGCGCGUGUAGGUGGUGGGACAGGUCUGCUGUGAAAGCGCCUGGCUUAACCGGGCGAGGUCGGCGGAAACUGUCCGACUCGAGGACGGUAGAGGGGGGUGGAAUUCCCGGUGUAGUGGUGAAAUGCGUAGAGAUCGGGAGGAACACCUGUGGCGAAGGCGGCCCCCUGGGCCGGCCCUGACACUGAGACGCGAAGGCGUGGGGAGCGAACGGG
rnacentral:rRNA from 1 species